UACGUAGGUGGAAAGCGUUGUCCGGAUUUACUGGGUGUAAAGGGCGUGUAGGCGGGAAGAUAAGUCAGAUGUGAAAUUCCAUGGCUCAACUGUGGCGCUGCAUCUGAAACUAUUUUUCUUGAGUGCUGGAGAGGAAAGCGGAAUUCCUAGUGUAGCGGUGAAAUGCGUAGAUAUUAGGAGGAACACCAGUGGCGAAGGCGGCUUUCUGGACAGUAACUGACGCUGAGGCGCGAAAGCGUGGGGAGCAAACAGG
rnacentral:rRNA from 1 species